rnacentral:rRNA from 1 species
UCUACGGGAGGCAGCAGUGGGGAAUAUUGCACAAUGGGGGAAACCCUGAUGCAGCGACGCCGCGUGAGUGAAGAAGUAUCUCGGUACGUAAAGCUCUAUCAGCAGGGAAGAAAAUGACGGUACCUGACCAAGAAGCCCCGGCUAACUACGUGCCAGCAGCCGCGGUAAUACGUAGGGGGCAAGCGUUAUCCGGAUUUACUGGGUGUAAAGGGGGCGCAGACGGCAAUGCAAGCCAGGAGUGAAAGCCCGGGGCCCAACCCCGGGACUGCUCUUGGAACUGCAUGGCUGGAGUACAGGAGGGGCAGGCGGAAUUCCUAGUGUAGCGGUGAAAUGCGUAGAUAUUAGGAGGAACACCGGGGGCGAAGGCGGCCUGCUGGACUGUGACUGACGUUGAGGCCCGAAGGCGUGGGGAGCAAACAGGAUUAGAUACCCUUGUAGUC